rnacentral:rRNA from 1 species
GACGAACGCUGGCGGCGUGGAUUAGGCAUGCAAGUCGAACGGUAUCAUCCUUUCGGGGGUGAGAGAGUGGCGAACUGGUGAGUAACACGUAGGUUAUCUACCCUCAAGACGGGGACAACCCAGGGAAACUUGGGCUAAUACCGGAUGUGAGCAACUUUUAGUUGUUUGAAAGGUGGCGUAAGCUGUCGCUUGGGGAUGAGCCUGCGUCCUAUUAGUUAGUUGGUGAGGUAACGGCUCACCUAGGCAAUGAUAGGUAGGCGGCCUUAACGGGUGGUCGCCCACACUGGGAUUGAGAUACGGCCCAGACUCCUACGGGAGGCAGCAGUCGAGAAUAGUCUACAAUGGUCGGAAGACUGAUAGUGCGACGCCGCGUGAACGAUGAAUCCCUUCGGGGUGUAAAGUUCUUUUAUAUGUGAGCAGUGCUUCUUAUAUUAACAGUAUGGGGAGAGAGAUAUUAGCAUAUGAAUAAGCAACGGCUAACUCCGUGCCAGCAGCCGCGGUAAAACGU